UACGAAGGGGGCUAGCGUUGUUCGGAAUUACUGGGCGUAAAGGGCUCGUAGGUGGCCAACUAAGUCAUACGUGAAAUCCCUCGGCUUAACCGGGGAACUGCGUCUGAUACUGGAUGGCUUGAGGUUGGGAGAGGGAUGCGGAAUUCCAGGUGUAGCGGUGAAAUGCGUAGAUAUCUGGAGGAACACCGGUGGCGAAGGCGGCAUCCUGGACCAAUUCUGACACUGAGGAGCGAAAGCCAGGGGAGCAAACGGG
rnacentral:rRNA from 1 species